CCGGCGCACGGGUGAGUAACACGUAUGCAACCUGCCUGCCACAGCCGGAUAAUCGGGAGAAAUUCCGUCUAAUACGGCAUAAUGCAUCGACGGGACAUCCUGUUGGUGCCAAAGGUUAAUUCCGGUGGCGGAUGGGCAUGCGUCGCAUUAGGCAGUAGGCGGGGUAACGGCCCACCUAACCGACGAUGCGUAGGGGUUCUGAGAGGAAGGUCCCCCACACUGGUACUGAGACACGGACCAGACUCCUACGGGAGGCAGCAG
rnacentral:rRNA from 1 species